AUUGAACGCUGGCGGCAUGCUUUACACAUGCAAGUCGAACGGUAACAGGCCUUCGGGCGCUGACGAGUGGCGAACGGGUGAGUAAUGCAUCGGAACGUGCCCAGUCGUGGGGGAUAACUAUCCGAAAGGAUAGCUAAUACCGCAUACGAUCUGCGGAUGAAAGCGGGGGACCUUCGGGCCUCGCGCGAUUGGAGCGGCCGAUGUCAGAUUAGGGAGUUGGUGGGGUAAAGGCUCACCAAGCCAACGAUCUGUAGCUGGUCUGAGAGGACGACCAGCCACACUGGGACUGAGACACGGCCCAGACUCCUACGGGAGGCAGCAGUGGGGAAUUUUGGACAAUGGGCGCAAGCCUGAUCCAGCAAUGCCGCGUGUAGGAAGGAGGCCUUCGGGUUGUAAACUGCUUUUGUACGGAACGAAACGGCUCUGGUUAAUACCCGGGGCUAAUGACGGUACCGUAAGAAUAAGCACCGGCUAACUACGUGCCAGCCGCCGCCGUAACAC
rnacentral:rRNA from 1 species